ACUCAAAGGAAUUGACGGGGGCCCGCACAAGCGGUGGAGCAUGUGGUUUAAUUCGACGCAACGCGCAGAACCUUACCCGGUCUUGACAUCUUUGGAACCUGGCCCAAAAGCUGGGGUGCUCGCAAGAGAACCAGAAGACAGGUGCUGCAUGGCUGUCGUCAGCUCGUGUCGUGAGAUGUUGGGUUAAGUCCCGCAACGAGCGCAACCCUCGCCUUUAGUUGCCACGCAAGUGGAUCUCUAGAGGGACCGCCAGUUACAAGCUGGAGGAAGGUGGGGAUGACGUCAAGUCCUCAUGGCCUUUAUGACCGGGGCUACACACGUGCUACAAUGGACGGUACAAAGCGUUGCCAACUCGCAAGAGGGAGCCAAUCGCAUAAAACCGUUCUCAGUUCGGAUUGGAGUCUGCAACUCGACUCCAUGAAGUCGGAAUCGCUAGUAAUCGAAGAUCAGCACGCUUCGGUGAAUACGUUCCCGGGCCUUGUACACACCGCCCGU
rnacentral:rRNA from 1 species